UUUUAUACAAAUGGUUUGUAAUCUUUAUGCAUAUAUCUGAUAUGUAAUCUAAUGCAGUUUAAACUUGUAUUCAGUAUUAAAAUAGGUAAUCACACACACACAUCGUGGUUUGUUAUCGAUAUCUCUAUUAUUCCUUUUAUCAUAAUAAUCUUAUUUUGCCUUAAUUAUAUUCGGAUAUUACAAGAAUUAGUUAAAUAUAAUAAUAUGCUUUUUGCUUACCUGUUAUAAUUCACAAGACUGUUAAAAUACUGUAGAUCGUGGCGCGUUUUGGUAUCAAAGCCAUACAGUAAACUGUUAAGAGUAAAAGUUACAAUAUUACUGUAGAAACCUACUUAAAUUUACAUCUAAGAAAGUUGGUCCGAAAGUUAAGGCAAGAGACGAACGGACAAGUCUAUGCAAAGUACCCGCCAAGGCCAGGAAGAGCCGCUUAGGGGAACACGCUGGACCCGUGAUCGUCCAGAUUGUCAUUAUCCGCAACCUACAAAUGGCAAAUUUAAUUAGAAAUCUUAAAGGUAGUACUGCAACUCAAUCUCAA
rnacentral:lncRNA from 1 species